rnacentral:rRNA from 1 species
GAUCUGGCUCAGAUUGAACGCUGGCGGCAGGCUUAACACAUGCAAGUCGAGCGGGGGAAAGUAGCUUGCUACUGGACCUAGCGGCGGACGGGUGAGUAAUGCUUAGGAAUCUGCCUAUUAGUGGGGGACAACAUUCCGAAAGGAAUGCUAAUACCGCAUACGUCCUACGGGAGAAAGCAGGGGACCUUCGGCCGUUGCGCUAAUAGAUGAGCCUAAGUCGGAUUAGCUAGUUGGUGGGGUAAAGGGACCGU